AGUCACUGACAUUAGAUACCCGGGUAGUCCUAGCCGUAAACGAUACUCGCUAGGUGUCGGCCACGGUGCGACCGUUGUGGUGCCGUAGGGAAGCCGUGAAGCGAGCCACCUGGGAAGUACGGCCGCAAGGCUGAAACUUAAAGGAAUUGGCGGGGGAGCACAACAACGGGUGGAGCUUGCGGUUUAAUUGGAUUCAACGCCGGAAAUCUUACCGGGACCGACAGCAACAUGAAGGCCAAGCUGAAGACUUUGCCGGAUUAGCUG
rnacentral:rRNA from 1 species